AUCAAAAAACAAACAAAAAAUCACCGUUUCUGAAAACAAAAAGCGGUUAGUAACUAAAGUUUUAAAAUGGCAUCUGUAAUUAGCAGUUCAGAUGCUGAUCUUAGCUCUCUUGUGGAUACAGAAGAAAUAAACAUUGGAGCACUUACAGAUCAAGAACUUUAUAAUUUGGUGCUAGAGUCUAAAAAAUCUCAUGAUAUUCUAAAGAUUGAAACAAAAGUAUUUGAAUUAUUUUUGAAGAGAGUUGACCCAAAAGAGUUGGAUUCUCAACAAACAUUGGGUGUUAAUCAUUCUGAUCAAUCUCAAAGAGUAUUUCGAAAACGUGCUCACCCUCAAAAUAGAUUACAUGACAGACAUUUUAAAUUGACAUCACAGCAAAAAUGUGACAUAGCUACUAAAGAAAUCGAAGAGCUAAAAGCCCAAAUGAAAAGUUCUAAAGAAAGUUAUAUGAAGAAAAUAGAAAAUUUUAAUGCUGUUAUGCAGGAAGCAGAUAUUCGAUUAACUGAAGUUAAAAAAAUUCAUCAUGAGUUUAAUCGUGAUAUUGUAAAUGGUGCUAUAAAUCCAAGGAAUAAGAAAAUUAUUGCUGAAAAGUUUACACGAUGGAUUGAUGAUAAGAUGAAAGCAAGUGAUGGUUUUAUUGAAAAAAUGCGUCUGAAGAAUUCAACCCUAAAAGUACAAAAAAAUAAAUUACAACAGCAACUGAAACAGAAAGAAGAAAUGGGAGAAGUCUUGCAUGAAGUUGACUUUAACCAACUUAAAAUUGAAAACCUUCAAUACCUUGGAAAAAUUGAAGAAAGAAAUCAAGAGUUGCUUAGUUUGAAAUUAACUGCUACAAACAUUUCACAAUCACUGAAUGCUCAUAAGGAAAAGCUUAGUAUGGCAAUUGCUGAAUCAGCGAGGCUGAAAGCUGAAAUAGUACAGCGUAGAGAAUUACUUUCUAGAAUUGAAAAUGAAGCAAAAGUUGUUGAACUGGAAAAAAAUGAAAUUGACAUGAUCAACAAAAAAUAUAGAGAAAAUCUUUCAGAUUACAAAGUACCAGAAGUAUUGGAAUAUGUUCAAGAAAAAGCUGAACUCUAUGACCUUAAAAAAUUGAUAUGCAUCUGGGAGAGAAAAGUUGAAAUUGCUAAGUAAAACAAUGGUGUGGUCAUAAAUUAGAUCCACUGGAAUGGGCUCGAAAAAUGAUAGGAUCAAAUCUUAAACAAACAUCAAAGCUUUAACCGCCAGCACUAGAAAAUUUGUUACAUUUUGUGAGCUGUAACUUCAAAACUGGAUGCAUUAGGAAUUGCGAAUGAAAGAAGAUGGCAUUAAGAAGUCACGAAGUCACUUGGGACCGCACAGUCCAUUUAAACAACGCUCAAGAAAAUUUAAAGCGUCAUUACGUUAAAAAAUUUAAUUCAUUGGUUAGUGAAACGUGAUUUAAUAUUUGCCAGAACCUU